AUUGAACGCUGGCGGCAGGCCUAACACAUGCAAGUCGAGCGGAUGAAGGGAGCUUGCUCCUGGAUUCAGCGGCGGACGGGUGAGUAAUGCCUAGGAAUCUGCCUGGUAGUGGGGGAUAACGUCCGGAAACGGGCGCUAAUACCGCAUACGUCCUGAGGGAGAAAGUGGGGGAUCUUCGGACCUCCCCCUAUCGUUGGAGCCUAGGUCGGAUUAGCUAGUUGGUGGGGUAAAGGCCUACCAAGGCGACGAUCCGUAACUGGUCUGAGAGGAUGAUCAGUCACACUGGAACUGAGACACGGUCCAGACUCCUACGGGAGGCAGCAGUGGGGAAUAUUGGACAAUGGGCGAAAGCCUGAUCCAGCCAUGCCGCGUGUGUGAAGAAGGUCUUCGGAUUGUAAAGCACUUUAAGUUGGGAGGAAGGGCAGUAAGUUAAUACCUUGCUGUUUUGACGUUACCAACAGAAUAAGCACCGGCUAACUUCGUG
rnacentral:rRNA from 1 species